rnacentral:sRNA from 12 species
GUCUGUUACCCGAAUAGUCUCCGUAUGGUGCGCGUGCCCUCCGAGCGAGUGUGCUAGGGCAGCAGACCGAA